rnacentral:rRNA from 1 species
GAUUUAGGGCUCGAUUCCGGAGAGGGAGCAUGAGAAACGGCUACCACAUCUAAGGAAGGCAGCAGGCGCGUAAAUUACCCAAUCCUGACUCAGGGAGGUAGUGACAAAAAAUCACAAUAUUUCACCCAAUGGGUUAAAUAAUUGUAUUGAGAACAGGCUAAACAUGUUACCGAUAAACUAUUGGAGGGCAAGUCUGGUGCCAGCAGCCGCGGUAAUUCCAGCUCCAAUAGCGUAUACUAACGUUGUUGCAGUUAAAAAGCUCGUAGUUGGAUUUCUAAGCCUGCCAGUUCUGUCUGACCUUUAAGAGUCAGCACAGUGUCUGGCGUGUCUUAUUAUGCGUUUAAUGGCGUUUGCUAUUCGCUUAGCGAGUGCCGUGAGAGCGCGUGUUUACUUUGAGAAAAUUAGAGUGUUCAAAACAGUCUUACGAUUGUAUAUCAUAGCAUGGAAUAAUAACUGAUGACAACGGUCUCUGUUGUUGGCUUUCGGUGACUGAUGUAAUGAUUGAUAGAGUCAGUCGGAGGCAUUAGUAUUUUAUCGUUAGAGGUGAAAUUCACAGAUCGAUAAAAGACUAACAACUGCGAAAGCAUUUGUCUAGGAUGUGCUCUUUGAUCAAGAACGAAAGUUGGGGGAUCGAAGACGAUCAGAUACCGUCGUAGUCUCACCUAUAACCUAUAC